rnacentral:rRNA from 1 species
UACGAGGGGUGCAAGCGUUGCUCGGAAUUAUUGGGCGUAAAGGGUAGGUAGGUGGUCUCGUUUGUCUGGGGUGAAAUCCUUGAGCUUAACUCAAGAAGUGCCCCAGAAACGGCGAGACUAGAGUACUGGAGAGGGUCGUGGAAUUCCCGGUGUAGCGGUGAAAUGCGCAGAUAUCAGGAGGAACACCGGUGGCGAAGGCGGGUCUCUGGGCCGAUACUGACGCUGAGGAGCGAAAGCGUGGGGAGCGAACAGG